rnacentral:rRNA from 1 species
CAGUCGCCGCGGGAAUACGAAGGGUGCAAGCGUUAAUCGGAAUUACUGGGCGUAAAGCGUGCGUAGGCGGUUCGUUAAGUCUGUUGUGAAAGCCCCGGGCUCAACCUGGGAAUGGCAAUGGAUACUGGCGAGCUAGAGUGUGUCAGAGGAUGGUGGAAUUCCCGGUGUAGCGGUGAAAUGCGUAGAGAUCGGGAGGAACAUCAGUGGCGAAGGCGGCCAUCUGGGACAACACUGACGCUGAGGCACGAAAGCGUGGGGAGCAAACAGGAUUAGAUACCCGCGUAGUCCCUGUCUCUUAUAC